UAUAAAAUAUAUAAAAUAUCCUAAUUUUAUCCGAAUCUAAAACAAAUAUGUAUAUGCGUGUCAUGAUAAGAGCAUGUGCAGUGUACGUAAACAUGUGCAGCAUAAAAAACUGAGAAGAUCCGUUUUUGUCCCAUGUCGCUACGUCAAUUUUUCGCUGAGUUAUAGCGUUUUGAAAAUUCAGCACCUGUGCAGUCUAUAAAUAGACUGAAGAUGCGCCGCGAAUGCGGAGGUGCUAUUAAUAGUUGAUCUAGAUUGAUCAGUCAUGUGGAAAAGGCAAUGACCUGAAACACCUGUAUAGAUUGCGCGGCAGUAGCACCGGUCGGCCUAUGUCGGAAUUUGGUCGGAAUCCUUCGGAAUAUCACGUGCGCAUGGAUCAUGGAUCGAUUAUCGAGAUUGUCGAUCUCUCAUGGAAAAGUGCAGUAAACGAGUGUCAUGUGAAAAGAAAGAGUUUAGCACGUUUGAUAAGGUCAGAAUCAUUUAUUUUCGGGUAAUUAAUUUGAAAGAUGUCAAUUAAUUACAAAAACAAAAUUAAUCCUUUCGAUACUUAACAUAACAACGCGAAAUAGAUGCUAUCAGCUCGGUUUACCAAAUUUAUAGGUUAAGACGGCAUUGUACAUAUGCACUUUGUGAUUGCUAUAAAUGUUUUUUUAGAUUGCAUAUAUAUAUGCACAAUAUUCUACGCAAAUAUUUUUUUGUUCUAUAUAUCAAUUCUUUGUACCGUAAGUAUUAAUGAGAUUGUUGCCAAUUGUACAAUAAAAAUGAGUUGAUAAACUACAUGAAGAAGAACGGAGUUAGUGCCAUGAAGAAUAUUAUGAUGCUAUUAAUCCAGGCGCCGAUAUUCUGCUUCUUCUUCUUCUUCGCCCUCAGAAAUAUUACAAAUUUACCUGUGGAGAGCUUGAAACAGGACGGCUUUUUGUGAUUGACGGAUCUCACCUGUACCUGAUCCUUUUUAUUUAAUGCCUAUAAUUACUAGUGUGACAAUGUAUAUCAAUCGAGCUCGCCAGAUGGUGUUAAUCUCCAAAUGAUGGGUGUGAUGCGAUACGUCAUACGAGCUAUGCUUUUCAUCCUAUUGCCAUUCAUGUUAAACUUCUCUGGUGCUAUUUUAACGUAUUGGGUGUGAACAAAUUUCAUUUCCCUGACACGAACUGGUUUAUUAAAGGUUCCAUAUAUAAGAAAAGCUCUCUAAGCGAAGAAUUCAAAGAAUGUAAGUUACUUAAAUUGGUGGUUUGAUAAAGUCAAAAGAAAACACGCAAUAUAUAUAACAAUAAAAUAUUUAUUACACAAUAUAUUACACAAAUAAAUAUAAAGAAAAUGUAAAUAUAAAUCAAUUAAUUUAAAAAAAAUAAAACUGACAAAUUUAUUACAUCUAAGAUAAACGUCGCAGAGGCCUAUUUAAGAGUUAAUGAUUAUUAAAAAUAUAACUCUUUCCAUUAAAAUAAUACUUUUUCUAUUUUUUAGUAUAUGCAGUAAAGAUUAAAGGAGACUACAAAUUAGGCCAAAAAAAAAAAACGAAAUUGAAACGGCUUCAUGGAUUUUGAUGAAAUUUGCAGGGAAGGUACAAACUGGAUUUCUAUCCAUGGCAAUGCAUAUAUACAUAUAUAUAUAUAUGGAUAAUAAUAUCCAUAUAUAUAUAUAUAUACAAUUAUAUGCAUUGUCAUGGAUAGAACCUAGUUCCGGGCGCCAUUACUUGGGAACCAUGACACCUAAGCCAAAUCGCCAUGGUCAUUUUUCUUCUUUCACCCUAGACUACCUUUCCUGCAAAUUUCAUCAAAAUCCAUGAAGUCGUUUUCUAUUUAGUUUUUUGUAGCCUAAUUUGUGGUCUCCUUUUCAUAAAGUUACAUCAAACAGCAUGAAACUUUUU